rnacentral:rRNA from 1 species
GCUUACGGGCCAUAUCACGUUGAAAACACACGGUUCUCGUCCGAUCACCGAAGUUAAGCAACAUCGAGCCUAGUUAGUACUUAGAUGGGUGACCGCUUGGGAACCCUAGGUGCUGUAAGCA